rnacentral:rRNA from 1 species
AUUGAACGCUGGCGGGAUGCUUUACACAUGCAAGUCGAACGAGUGGCGGACGGGUGAGUAGUAUAUCGGAACGUGCCCAGUAGCGGGGGAUAACUACUAGAAAGAGUGGCUAAUAACGCAUACUAUUGGAGCGGCCGAUAUGGGAGUAGCUAGUUGGUGGGGUAAAGGCUCACCAGGGCCACGAUCCCUAGCUGGUGUGAGAGGACGACCAGCCACACUGGGACUGAGACACGGCCCAGACUCCUACGGGAGGCAGCAGUGGGGAAUUUUGGACAAGGGGCGCAACCCUGAUCCAGCCAUCCCGCGUGUAUGAGAAGGCCUUCGGGUUGUAAAGUACUUUUGGCAGAGAAGCGGUAUCUGCAGAAGAAGCACCGGCUAACUACGUGCCAGCAGCCGCGGUAAUAC